GCACAUGUGGCGGAAUGGUAGACGCGCAGCGUUGAGGUCGCUGUGAUCGCUUUUAGAUCGUGCUGGUUCAAGUCCAGUCAUGUGCA
rnacentral:tRNA from 1 species